AGAGGCCUUGGUGGGAUGUCCUGCACACCUGCAAUGAGGAAGUGAUUUCAGCUGCAAUUACAAACCACAAAGAGACUUUUUUUUUUUUUUUUGGAAGGAAACGGUCUCCGAUGUUAAUGGGAUUGUGUCUGGUACCACAUGGCAGCAGCUAGUUCAGAUGGAGUUCCAGUCGCUGCAUCUCCUGUUGGACAAUUUAGGAGGGCUGAUUAUCAUAUUUCAGGACACAACUGGACAUAACUCUAGAAGAAUCAAAGAGUAGAGCUGAAUAAGAGAGUUGAGAUCCAUAAAUCAGGACGUCAGAAUGGAGGAAAGAAGCCCAUAUAAAAGCUUUUAGGUACCUCUGACCUAAGGGUAUUCAUUCAAGAAGUUGCAGGAUUAUUCCAAGGAUGAGCAUCAUCAGUAUCAUCUGGGAACUUGGCAAAAUGCAAAAAUCUUGAGGCUUACCUGAGACCAACUGAAUUAUUUGCAUUUUAACAGGACACUAAGCUUGAUGAUUUCCUGAAUCAGAUCUAUAAGCUCCAGGGAUCUCGAGAUGAACAGAGACAAAUGAAAACUUGGAAAGCAAACUCAGGCACUUACAAAUUAUUUCAGAAAAUACGUUGAUUUCAAGAAUGAACCCUUAGGGGUGCCUGGGUGGCUCAGUUGGUUGGGCGUCUACCUUCGGCUCAGGUCAUGGGAUCAAGCUCCACAUCGGGCUCCCUGCUCAGUGGGGAAACUGCUUCUCCCUCUCCCUCUGUCUUUCCCCACUGCUUGUGCUUGCUCUCUUUCUCUCUGUCAAAUAAAUACAUAAAAUCUAAAA